AUUGAACGCUGGCGGCAGGCCUAACACAUGCAAGUCGAGCGGAUGAAGGGAGCUUGCUCCUGGAUUCAGCGGCGGACGGGUGAGUAAUGCCUAGGAAUCUGCCUGGUAGUGGGGGAUAACGUCCGGAAACGGGCGCUAAUACCGCAUACGUCCUGAGGGAGAAAGUGGGGGAUCUUCGGACCUCACGCUAUCAGAUGAGCCUAGGUCGGAUUAGCUAGUUGGUGGGGUAAAGGCCUACCAAGGCCACGAUCCGUAACUGGUCUGAGAGGAUGAUCAGUCACACUGGAACUGAGACACGGUCCAGACUCCUACGGGAGGCAGCAGUGGGGAAUAUUGGACAAUGGGCGAAAGCCUGAUCCAGCCAUGCCGCGUGUGUGAAGAAGGUCUUCGGAUUGUAAAGCACUUUAAGUUGGGAGGAAGGGCAGUAAGUUAAUACCUUGCUGUUUUGACGUUACCAACAGAAUAAGCACCGGCUAACUUCGUG
rnacentral:rRNA from 1 species